CUGCAGCUCAAGUGGUGACCACUAUUAUUGGGCCUAAAACGUUCGUAGCCGGUUUGGUAAAUGCCUGGGUAAAUCGUGUAGCUUAACUAUACGAAUUCCGGGUAGACUGCCAAACUUGAGACCGGGAGAAGCUAGAGGUACUCCUAGGGUAGAGGUGAAAUUCUGUAAUCCUGGGGGGACCACCAGUGGCGAAGGCGUCUAGCUAGAACGGGUCUGACGGUGAGGAACGAAGCCCUGGGGCGCAAACCGGAUUAGAUACCCGAGUAGUCA
rnacentral:rRNA from 1 species